UCGAGCUAGACCACCGCCCCACCGCAUAUAUUUUUCAAUAGAUGCGAGCGGUUUCCGCUGAACGCCGACUAGCGGGCGGUGAUUGGCGACGUGCUGGACGGCGAUGUGCUCGGCGAAGAAUUCUCAUCGGAUGAUUCCCUCACUCCCCUGUCCAUCUCUCCCUCGUCCUCUCGUGCGACUCAGAGGCCGACAGCGGCAGCGGUGAUGGAGCGUACAACGAUUCUUCACCGGUGACCAAUCCCAAAUCUAUCCCACUGCUCAGUCGAAUAAGGCGCUUGCGACAACCAACAUUCACCGAACCAGAUUUUCCAUUCCCUCGACAGCCGGCUCCGGCACAGGAAUGAAGGUCAUGGUCGGCGCUGCAUAUCCAGAAGCUAUGCCACGGCCGCCUACAGUUCCACCCAGGCUAGCUGAUUUGCAUGCAUGUUUGAUUUCUGAUCUCUUUCCAAUCUGUCCUGUUCAUUCUAUUUUAUACGGUCAUAUGUUAGCUAGGCUCUGAGUGCACCAUGUAUCCAUAGUUGCAAAACAAUUCUUGAGAUUUCCUUGGUAAAAUUUCUGGAAUAUUUUAGUUGUACAUAAUAUUGGCUGCGCCAUCAUAACCAUUUGUUUACCCCCCUAGUAUAAAAAUACCAAAGUAAGGUUUCUAUACAUACAUACGAGAAAGCACCUCUUUAAUUAGUAAUUUGCUGGUAGAAACAUCGAUCUGUUAUUACUGGACAUGAAGUAGCUUUUACAAAUGCUAUAGGUAAUUGCGUGGAAAUUGAUCUGAGAAAUUGUUGUCGAGAUAGGUAAUUACUUGAGAACAGUUGCUCUUUAAGAUUUCUUGAGCUUUAUUCCGGAUGCUCAAGUGAAGCAAUUGCUUCUCACUGAAGGGUCUAUUUUUUUCUUGGACGGGUCAGGUUGUUCCUGUUUUCUCUUUAUUCAGAUGUACCUUGGAUUUGUAAAUCAGAAAGUGUGAUGCUCAACGAGAUUCAGGUCGCGCUAAGACAUCAACAAUCAGUGACAAGCCUCCACUAUCUAUUGCAAAAAUGAAGAACCGGGUUGAUUGCUUAUCCUCAUCCCGGUGAUUUGGUCCCCGCAAAAAAAAAAGAAUAUGAUUUUGGGCGAAUAGGACCUGACUAGCUUCUAACUCUGCUGAACUGUAUUGAUCAUAGUGUUAAACUAUUUUUUCUUUUGCUCUUCUAAAGGCCAUUUGCAAUGAUUCAUAAUUUUCCAGAGGAGAUGGCUCAGUUGAAAAUUAUGUUCAGUUUCUUUAUUCUUAUGCUAAUUCUCUGUCCAUUUGUAAGACGGCUGGUGAUGUUCAGAAUAAUAAGCGAAGUGCAGAAUGAAAUUAAUGGGGCCGAGAUUAGCGGUUUCCUUUCCUUUUCCCUGGGAAGGCGAAUAGGAAGGCGACUUUGUCCCCUCGAUCUGCCGCCGGCCAGGCCGGUGGUUCCUUCCCUCUCCGUCUGCCGCUCCCACGACGGGAGAGGGGCGGGAACCCCAGUCCUGUGCUUCCGGUAUGUAGAUAGUAGGGUAGUGGUUCCCGGAGUUGCCGUCAUGGUGGGGGUGGCGGCGUCGGUGUGGAAUAAAGAUGUUGGUGGUUCCCCCUCAUCCCAGCGAAGCCUUUGCCGGAACCGGCGAACUGUCGGCUUUAGGUGCUCUCGGAUCCUUCGAUAUGGUGAGCUUUGGUGCUCCGAGCAAAGCGCUGGAUCUGCCAGCGCAGGUUUGUGGUCACUGGAUCUUUGCAGGUUCUUCUCCUCAACGGUGAAUUGGUAACGGUGACUACAGUAGACUGUUUAAGCAACUAAGCAACUCAAGUCCCAUGGCGAUUACAAAUCAUGAGUGGCUGCUGCACUAUUCUUGUAUGUUCUUCUAUUUUCCAUGGAAGCAUUCAAUCAUAUUUGUUUUUUCUCACAGCAGUUUAUAUACCUCUCCAUGGAUCAUUCAGGUGUACAAAUAUGGAUUUUCACUUUUGACCUGCAGUAUUUGACGGUCUCUAUGUGGAGGGUUUCAGAACUUUCUCUAGGUGCAGACCGGAUUAGUAGCGGUACAUGCUUGCAACUAGCAAAAAUUGCAAGAUGCAGGGUUGCGUUUUCUCUUUCCAAUGCAUGGUGGAUGACCGCUAAUGUAUGUGGGAUAUGGAUGUCUUCAUAUUUGUGGUGGGUACAAGUAAUGUUAAAUUGAAAUUUGAGGCCCUCUUUUCAUUACAACCAGUAGCAAAAUUUAGGUUUUGGUGAGAAGAAAGGUGAACCUAAUGGCUAUAGCACUAUUGAGAAGAAUGUUUCAGUCACUGGAGAAAUUGAGGAACAAAUGAAGUUGAUAGAAGAACAAGCAAUAAAGAUCUAUUAAACAUAUAUAUAGAUUGCUUGGCAAUAAAGAUCGACAUAAAAUAGCAUUACUUGUUUUGGGCAUAGCUAAACGUACAAGCUUAAUACUACUGAAAUUCUAAAAUCUAUUUGUAUGUGUUCGAUCAGAAGUAAUGUUUGGUUUUGUUCAUAGGUUGUCCACUGUUUUGUCAUUCCACCUAACUGAAAGAGAUUGUAAUCGGGUCAACAAAUGGCAUACAUUUUUUUCAGGCAGACAAACCUAUUUUGUUGAAAAUCUGAACUUUGUAGUUCAGUAGCUAUUGUGUAGGUGUAUUUCAAUCUUAUGGCUUUUUUUUGCUUGAGAUUCGUAUAUACUGUAAUGAUGUUGAGUUUGUUCACAUUAACCUAUGUUCCUAUUUUGCUGAGCUAUCCACUGAAAUUUGCUUAAUUUCUUCUUGAUUCCUCGUGUUUACUACCACUGUACCACUAGAUUUGAUAUGUUUUUAUUUAGUUCCA